GUGCUGGUGGUGAGAAGACGUGGUGGCAGGGAUGCACAAACAGCCUCUCCUCCAUCUGACAGGAUGUUUUCAGCUGCAAGGUGAGGAUGGGGAAGAAAAGCUCCUGCUGCUGCUUUGGUAUUGUCUGAAGUGGCAGAGAAGGAGAUGACAAGGACACCCUGAAGCCAUCAAUGGAUGAUCACCCAGAGGAGGCUUUGGAGAGUGAGAUGGGACAGAAGAUGCUGAGCAAGGUGCAGGAGGAGCACGAGGCAUGUGCGAUGCAGCUGUCCGCCUAGGAAAAAGGACGUG
rnacentral:lncRNA from 1 species